AUUCUUUUAAUGACUUUUAGUUGUUUAAGUAAGUAUUUUUUAACAGCAAUAGUUGUUUAGAAAAAAUGAACUGUAUCAUUAAGAAAGAAUCUGUGCUAGUUCAACACAGUGGCUUAAAAUAUUCUCUAAACAGUGCUUGUAACAGAAUAAAAAUGUCUUUAGUACAGAGUCAUUGGGCAAAUAUGCAUUCAGCAUCAGCAAAUGUAUCUUCUAAUCUGAAGGAGUAAGCCAAGGAUAUUUCUGUUCUGUUUUCUCUCCAUUACAAUUAAAUCCUGGAAUCACAGGAUGGUUAGGGCUGGAAGGGACCUUAAAGAUCCCUUUCAGUGAUCAGAGAGGUUUCAGCCUUCUGCUGUAGGCAGGGACUACUCUAACUAGACCAGGCUGCUCAGGGCCCCAUCCAGUCUGGUUUUGAAGCCUUCCAUGGGACAUCCAUAACCUCUCUAUGCAGCCUAUUCCAGUACCUUACCAUUUCAUCCUAACAUCCAAUCUAAAUCUGCCCUCUUUCAGUGUAAAACCAUUGCCCCUUAUCCUGUCACCAUUUGUCCACACAAGAAACUGUUCUUCCUCUUUUUAUUAAGCCUCUUUUAAGCACUGGAAAAUUGCAAAAAGUGGAAAUUACACCAAUGAUCUUCAUCAAGUUCUCAUAAAGUAGCUCCUGCCCUAAGGCAGCAAUAGGAUGGUACUGGCUCAGUGCUAAACAGAGAUAUUAAGAGGUUUGCUCCCAGACAGGAGUAAACUGAAAUGCUUCAGGACAUAAAGGCUGCAGAGUUAUCACUAAAGCACAGAAAAUCAACCUCACAGAGAGAAAAGAGUCAAGUGUGUAAUUAAAGCCGACACCCAAAACGAACAAACACAGAAGGGGUCACCAACAGAGACGCUGCAAUGUAAUCUAACAGGUCAGAAGCUCGGUGUACCAAUCAGGAGUAUCGUUACCACAGGGACAAGAGCAAUGACCCAAAACAUGCACACACACACACACACACACACACACACACACACACACACACACACUCACCACACAACACAUAUGCACAGAGGCCUUUCAUUCCAGUGUUCCAUGAAGAUCUGAUUGCUUCACCCAAAGGGCUGAAGGAUCACUCAGGUAUGUGCAGUAGAGAACAGGGAUUUGCUCAGGAGAGCUGGCCAGGGGAAGCUCUAUGGUUGCCCAGGGUCACCUUCCCCUCACAGGGGUCCUCCUCUAAGGGACAUGACAGCACACGAGCUUGAGGUGGGAGUGGUAGCCAAACACGGCAAUGGUCCAGAAACACUACGUCUAACAUCUGGACAACUUCCAAGUUUUUGCAAGUUUCUAACUUCUGCCUUUGUUACAGGGCACUGCUUCUGAUGGCAAGGGCACCAGCCAUGGCUGCCUGCAUUCUUCUGGCCCUGCUGCCCAGUUAUUGACCACUAAUCCCUGGCAGUCUGUAGGACACGUCAGCUUUGAUGUAUCACUUCCCUUAAUGUGUUUUUUGGAAUGCUGUGGCGAUAACACACUCACAUUUAUCUUCAUUGUUGCUGCUGGGAAAUGUGAAGGUUGUCUCUAACAGGAUUUUCCCAUUUAGUUAAAUAAUUAUGCUAGAAUUUUAAAACACUCUGGGUUAUCAGAAGGCAGCAAAAAAAUCUCUAGCCCAACAAAUGCUACAUGGUGAAAAUAUUUUAGUAAAUUAUAUUUCAAAGACCUUUUGCAUGCUGCUGAGAAAUUUCAAAUAUAGGGAAUUAAAUGCAUUUCUCAGCUGAGAUGACUCUGUUGCUAAGCCACAAAUGUAUGUACUCGGUGCAACAGACUGCAUGGAAUAAGCAGCAGCUUCUGAUGGGAACAGAACUGGAUGCUCAUUGACAGUCUGAAUGAUGACCAUGUGAUCUCAGUGUGACUUCACUAUGUGCUGAGAAGGCUGUAAUUCCAAACCAAAUACUUUGAUGCAAAACACUAGUUAUACUUCUCAGUCACAUCAGAACAUAUAGCUCUUAGUUAUAAAAUAAUUUUGGUCCAGCAGCUGCAGCUGUAAAUCAGUUCUAUUGAUUGCAGAGGAGCAAUGCUGCCUUACGCUGAGACUCUGGUCCUGUCAACUUUUAAAUAAAAUAGAUCAGCAAUCUCACUACAGCAACUAAACUUUGCUAUUAAUUUUAUUUAUUGGCUGACAGAUUUUUUUUUUCCCCCACUCAUUCAAACCUUGAGCAGUGAUGAGCUUACUUGUGACUACAGCUUAAUUUACUGCAACUAUGAAGGUCUUAGAGUCUUCUAAUACUGCCUAUAGGACAAACCACAAAUAAGCCCAAUAUUAAGAUAGCAUGCUUUGUUAUCAGCAACAGACCCAAACCAGAAAACAGAUAAUCAGGAUAAAAUUUCUCUUGUGUAUUAUCAUUAAUAACAGAAAGAUAUCAGAGUUCUUAGUUUCACACCUCUUUCCAAAGAUUUCAGAUUCAGCAUUUACAAGCCAGAUAACUCUGAUCCUUGUUACUUUCUCAGUGGAACCCUGAUUGCAAAAUUCUGAGUGGAACCCUGAGUACAAAAUUCUGAGGAUUUGCCUUCAUUAAUUACAGAUUUUUUUACUUUAGGAAAGUUCUAGGCACAGAAAUAUCACCCAUCUGUAUACUUAUCAGUAUACUUCUGACUAAGGGGAUGCAAAUGUAUGUUUCUCAGAAUUUAAAGUUCAAAAAUAUAAUUUGUUCUAGUUUUCUGACUAGAAAGUUCUUUACAAAAAAAAAAAAAAAGCAGAGUGCUUUGCAUUCACUAAGUCAAUGUUAAUUUUAACAGCUUUAUGAGUAGCAUUAUUAAUGUCUUACAGAUAUAAACUGAGACACGCAAAAAAAAUUUAUCUCAAAUAAAACAGAAAAUAUUUGAGUCUUGCAGAUUUAGUGUCAGAAAAGGACAACUUUGAACUCCAAGUCUUAAAGCUCAUAGCUAACCUUUCAUGCUCUGAGCACAGCCCCUAGGGCUUCUAGAAGGGGUUUCCAUGGAAAAUAACAGGAGCAGGAAAAUAAGGUCACCGUUUUGAGGUAUUGGUGCUCCCUUUCCUUUAGGUAAUGUGGCAGGAAGCUUACAAAAAUGUCUGAACUUUUGCCAGGUUAUCCCUCCAAACACGUUGUAAGGAAUCCCCAGCACCCAGGAACCCAACCACCUUUGGAGGCUCUGCUGCUCAGAGCCCACUGACCUCAACACCAGGACCAUGUAUUAAACAACCUAAAGAAAAAUCAUUCUCAAGGAUGUUUGGUCCUUUUUGUCUUAUGACAUCCUUAGGAGAGUGUUAAGAAUGAUCUACUGCUUAUUUUCUAUUUCUUAGCGGAUUACUUAUGCCAGACAAAAUUCUCUGAGGUGUUCUUCACUCAGCAGGAUGCUAAUAUACUGUAUUGCCUGACUGCUGGUGGUGUGUGAGGAAAUGUCUUAUUUCUUAUGCCAGCAUCACUUCCACAGUGCUCAUCACUCUUCACAAUUCUAGCUGUGAGUGUUUGAAUUAACCCAGCAAUAACAAAAAUGAGAAAACAAAGGUGCAGCAAAUGAGAAAAGGGUGAACAGUACAAUGGAAGCUUAGGAAACACCAGUGAUUUAUAAUGUAAGGAAAGGAACUGAGAACCAGAUUUGCUGAGGAAAGGAACUGAGAAGGUUGAAAAAGCUUGAAACAAGGAGAAAGGAUGAAGAAACCUGAAGUGUUUCUCGUGGGAUGGAGCACAUGAGAAAAGACAAGAGUAGCACCUGACCUGACACAACCCAUGAGGAACUGGCAAUGAUCAUGAAAACAUUCAGUUGCCAGUAUGUACCUAACAUUGGCUGGUCGGGUCUGAAAAUGGUUACCGUGUGCUGCCUGCUCACUGGCCUGUGUGGAAUGACUUCUGUGCUCACAGUCCCCUUCUGAAAAGAGAAGUGAGAGCACCACAGAUGUUACCCUUGCCAAGAGAAGCUCUGUUCAUAGUCUCAGGGCUUGUGGACCCUCACAAAAAAAAAAA
rnacentral:lncRNA from 1 species